GUCUCUGGUUUUGUAAUGACUACCACUUUCCUCCUGAAAAUCUGUCUCCUUGGCAAAUCUGCUGCCCAAAAAACCCUGUUUUCAAAUAUUUGUGCAAAUGGAAAUAGAUUACAAGAAGGUGGCAGUGCGAUUUCUAAGUAUGAAUGAAGCUGCAUAUGUAUUUUUAUAAUAGCAAAUGUUUGUGUUUUAAAUCUCUUCCUUGGCAUCACUUUUUUGUUUAGGUGAAUCUAGGACAAAGAGGCUGACCAAAUCCAGAAAAUGAGUAUUUAAAAUAAAGUCACAUGAGAAUAUGCUUCUACUAUGGUAUAUAGGAUACAUCUCUAGAUUGACCAUCCUCUCGCUUGGAUUUUGUUGGUGCGUUGCACUAGAGGGAACUUGGAGGCCUCUUUGUGUUGCCAGAGAAGAAGAGAAUUUGUCCAGGAGGGAGCUGGGGAAUGCAACACAUAAGCACUCCACGAGGCAGACCAAGCUGAAAAGUUUUCCAGUGCUGAAAUACAUGCCCAACUGGAGAGUAAGGAAGAGGAAAAUGGACAUAACUGAGUAGGAAAUGGAAUGAAACUGUCUACUUAUUGCCAUUCAAGGAGGAAAACGUACGCUUACUUGGGAAAGACAAGACAAGGUUAAUAAUGGUACUAAAGAAAGUAGUUCUGUUUGCUCAAGAACAACAAGGAACUGGAGGAAAGUUGGCAUCCACAGAAGGAAAAUCUUCAAGGCUCUUUCCUCCUUUUCCAUCACCUGAUGAAACUUGCUUAUAUCUGCUGCUGACCUAUAUGCAUGUGUGUAUACAGAAAGGUUUAUUGAUUGAUUCAUAGGUAGAUAAGUAUGUUUGCGCGUGCACAGUAGCAAUUCUGAAAUAUCUUGGUAAGGAUCUACUUAAUAUAUUUGAAAAUUAACACAGUACCAAGUUAUUCUUCAGUUAACUUUCCAACCUCAAAAUCAGUCCUUCUCGAACCACAAUAAACACAAAAAAGCACAAACACAAAUAAACAUCUCUUUCAUUCCCUCACACAGCACAAAAAGGAGUAGCUACAAUUUCUGUGAAUAAAGCCAGCAUUUCUUACAUUUCUUACAUCCCUAUUUUAUAGUCAAAAAGCUGGCAAAUAAAUUCAUAUCAUUCAUAAGAAAUUAUCAUUAAGAGCACAAGAAAUUGCUCAUGUCUAUCUCUAAAUGCCUAUUGUUUUCAAAGUGUGUAUCAUUUGGACUAAUUUUAAUUCAGGCAGUACCUCUUCAGGCAAUGUACUGGGUUUACUGAAGUAACCAUCAGCUGGAUGGUUGCUAAUCUGGGCUCUUGGCUACUCACUUAUGCAGAUAUCCCAUUUUCAGGCAUAAUAUACAUACUGCAGCAAAUUGAUGUGACCACUUCUCUACCAGUUGCUAAACUAUUCUCCAGCAAUAUCUCAACAAACAGUACACACACUCCGCUGCUUCCAUCUUCUGUUGAGUUUAUAGAACAGGAUGUAAGAAUUCACCUGUAUAUAUAUUUAACAGUGCUUGGAUGAGCAUAUUCUCAUAAAGAGGUCAUAAAGCAGAUCAAAAGGGAGUAGAAAAGCCCAUCCAGAAUUUGAGUGGCAUGAAAGUUCUCCACUGUAGUGUUACUUCUGACCAGGGGUGACUUUGCAAAAGCCUCACCUGGGAGAGCUCUGCAGCUGCUUUAUCCAAAUGUCCAGACCUGCUGUAAUGAUGCUACAAGAUUGCAUCCUUUUUAAAUACUACUCUCUUUGACUUUAGACAGGGUAAAGAAAGGAUGAAGAAGAAUGCAAACAAUAAAGACAUACUAUCCGUAACUUCAGUACUGUUAAGGAAGCUUAUUUGAGUAACUGUGAUUUUAUGCAUACUGCUUACCUUGAUCAUGUCUCUUCAGUUCCCGGCAUAUAGCUCUUCAGGGCAGCAUAUUUCCCUCUAGCUUUUCCAUUCCAAAACUGGGACAAAGUUAUUUCCAAAAGCAAAAGUCUCCAUAGAGUAACCAGCACCCUCUUGUGUUCAUGGUUCGCAGAGGCCAAACCCUGCACCGGGUAACUCCGGAGCCUCAUUCGCUGCUCAGUGCACCUUCGCCUGCCCCACAUCCUGAAGGCUCGCACAUGUUCCUCCAAUAGUUGGCUGUUGCCCAGACAGGAGAGCAGUAACUAGCAAAACUAUAUGUAUCUCACAUGUUAAUUUGUGCAAACACCAUUAGAAAUCUUCAAUCUGAACAAUUUUUGACCUAGUAUUUCUUUGGAGCUACCACCACUAUGCUUUCCAGGAACCAUGGAAUUUUCUCAAAAAAGAGUUUACACCAUGUGCUGAUUUGGGCUGGGAUAGAGUUAAUUUUCUUCAUAGCAGCUAGUAUGGGGCUGUGUUUUGGAUUCAUGCUAAAAACACUGUUGAUAAUGCAGAGAUGUUUUCGUUACUGCUAAGCAGUGCUUACACAGAGUUGAGGCCUUUUCUGCUUCUCACCCCACCCCACCAGCAAGUAGGCUGUGGGGGCACAAGAAUUUGGGAGGGGACACAGCUGGGACAGCUGACCCAAACUCACUCAGGAUAUUCCAGACCCUAUGACUUCAUGCUCAUCAUAUGAAUCUGGGGGAAGAAGGAGGAAGGGGGGGACGUUCGGAGUGAUGGCGGUUGUCUUCUCGUGUAACAGCUACAUGGGAUGGAGCCCUGCUUUCCUGGAGAUGGCUGAACACCUGCCUGCCCAUGGGAAGUGGCGAAUGAAUUCCUUGGUUUGCUUUGCUUGCGCGUGUGGAUUUUGCUUUACCUAUUAAACUGUUUUUAUCUCAA